UUGGAGGGCAAGUCUGGUGCCCGCAGCCGCGGUAAUUCCAGCUCCAAUAGCGUAUAUUAAAGUUGUUGCAGUUAAAAAGCUCGUAGUUGAAUUUCGGGAUUAGUACGCUGGUCGUGCCUUCGGUACGUACUGGUGUUACUGAUUCCUACCUUCUGACGAACCAUCAUGUCAUUAAUUUGGUGUGGUGGGGAAUCAGGACUGUUACUUUGAAAAAAUUAGAGUGUUUAAAGCAGGCUCGCGCUUGAAUACAUUAGCAUGGAAUAAUGAAAUAGGACGUUGAUCCUAUUUUGUUGGUUUCUAGGAUUGACGUAAUGAUUAAUAGGGAUAGUUGGGGGCAUUAGUAUUCAAUUGUCAGAGGUGAAAUUCUUGGAUUUAUUGAAGACUAACUACUGCGAAAGCAUUUGCCAAGGAUGUUUUCAUUAAUCAAGAACGAAAGUUAGGGGAUCGAAGACGAUCAGAUACCGUCGUAGUCUUAACCAUAAACUAUGCCGACUAGGGAUCGGAUGAUGUUAUUUUUAAUGACUCAUUCGGCGCCUUACGGGAAAC
rnacentral:rRNA from 1 species